rnacentral:rRNA from 1 species
CCCGGGCGACCGGCGCACGGGUGAGUAACACGUAUGCAACCUGGCCGCCACAGGGGGAUAACCCGCGGAAACGCGGCCUAAUACCCCGUGACGCCACCGGAGGGCAUCCUCCGGUGGCCAAAGGAGCGAUCCGGUGGCGGAUGGGCAUGCGGCGCAUUAGCUAGACGGCGGGGUGACGGCCCACCGUGGCGACGAUGCGUAGGGGUUCUGAGAGGAAGGUCCCCCACACUGGUACUGAGACACGGACCAGACUCCUACGGAAGGCAGCAG